UAACAAGGAUUCCCCUAGUAACUGCGAGUGAAGCGGGAAAAGCUCAAAUUUAAAAUCUGGUAGUCUUUGGCUGCCCGAGUUGUAAUCUAGAGAAGUGUUAUCCGCGCUGGACCGUGUACAAGUCUCCUGGAAUGGAGCGUCAUAGAGGGUGAGAAUCCCGUCUUUGACACGGACUACCAGGGCUUUGUGAUGCGCUCUCAAAGAGUCGAGUUGUUUGGGAAUGCAGCUCUAAAUGGGUGGUAAAUUCCAUCUAAAGCUAAAUAUUGGCGAGAGACCGAUAGCGAACAAGUACCGUGAGGGAAAGAUGAAAAGAACUUUGGAAAGAGAGUUAAACAGUACGUGAAAUUGUUGAAAGGGAAACGCUUGAAGUCAGUCGCGUUGGCCAGGGAUCAACCUUGCUUUUGCUUGGCGUACUUCCUGGUUAACGGGUCAGCAUCAAUUUUGAUCAGUGGAUAAAGGUUAGGGGAAUGUGGCAUCUUCGGAUGUGUUAUAGCCCUUGGCUGCAUACAUUGGUUGGGAUUGAGGAACUCAGCACGCCGCAAGGCCGGGUUUUAACCACGUUCGUGCUUAGGAUGCUGGCAUAAUGGC
rnacentral:rRNA from 1 species